CAAAAACAUAGCAUAGUGUAUUUAAUACUUUGCAUUUUCUGCUCAGUGAGAUAUUAAAUAGCCGCAGUACCUUGACUGUGCAAAGGUAGCAUAAUCAAUUGGCUUUUAAAUGGAGUCGAGAAUGAAUGAAUAAAUGGGGGAGUACUAUAUAUUAAGUAGAGUAUGAACUUUAUUACUAAGUGAAAAUGCUUAGAGAUAAUUAUAAGACGAGAAGACCCUAGAAAUUUUAGAAUAUUUUGUUGGGGCAACAUAAUAACAGUUAAUUUAUUAUAUGGACAUGGUGAAUAUAUUCAGGAAGUUGAAAUUACUCUAGGGAUAACAGCAUAAUUUUUGAAAGUUUGUGACCUCGAUGUUGGAUUAGGAAUUUGUUUCUUAGAAGGCAAAUAAAAAUUGCUCUGUUCG
rnacentral:rRNA from 1 species